rnacentral:rRNA from 1 species
AUUGAACGCUGGCGGCAUGCCUUACACAUGCCAGUCGAACGGUAACGGGCCUUCGGGUGCCGACGAGUGGCGAACGGGGGCGUAAUACAUCGGAACGUGCCCGAUCGUGGGGGAUAACGAGGCGAAAGCUUUGCUAAUACCUCAUACGAUCUACGGAUGAAAGCAGGGGACCGCAAGGCUUUGCGCGGACGGAGCGGCCGAUGGCAGAUUAGGUAGUUGGUGGGAUAAAAGCUUACCAAGCCGACGAUCUGUAGCUGGUCUGAGAGGAUGAUCAGCCACACUGGGACUGAGACACGGCCCAGACUCCUACGGGAGGCAGCAGUGGGGAAUUUUGGACAAUGGGCGCAAGCCUGAUCCAGCCAUGCCGCGUGCAGGAUGAAGGCCUUCGGGUUGUAAACUGCUUUUGUACGGAACGAAAAGCCUUCUUUUAAUACAGGAGGGUCAUGACGGUACCGUAAGAAUAAGCACCGGCUAACUACGUG